GAUGAACGCUGGCGGCGUGCUUAACACAUGCAAGUCGAACGGAAAGGCCCUGCUUUUGCGGGGCGCUCGAGUGGCGCACGGGGGAGUAAAACGCGAGGAACACGCCCUUAACAUUGGGAGAACAUCAGGAAACUGGGGCUCAUAUCGGAUAGGAUCUUCUGCAGCACGGUGGGGGAUGGAAAGUUACGGCGGUUGGGGAUGGACUCGCGGCUUAUCAGCUUGUUGGUGGGGUAGUGGCUUACCAAGGCUUUGACGGGUAGCCGGCCUGAGAGGGUGACCGGCCACAUUGGGACUGAGAUACGGCCCAGACUCCUACGGGAGGCAGCAGUGGGGAAUAUUGCACAAUGGGCGGAAGCCUGAUGCAGCAACGCCGCGUGCGGGAUGACGGCCUUCGGGUUGUAAACCGCUUUCGCCUGUGACGAAGCGUGAGUGACGGUAAUGGGUAAAGAAGCACCGGCUAACUACGUG
rnacentral:rRNA from 1 species